rnacentral:rRNA from 1 species
GGGGCAGGCCUACACAUGCAAGUCGAACGGUAGCACAGAGAGCUUGCUCUCGGGUGACGAGUGGCGGACGGGUGAGUAAUGUCUGGGAAACUGCCUGAUGGAGGGGGAUAACUACUGGAAACGGUAGCUAAUACCGCAUAACGUCGCAAGACCAAAGAGGGGGACCUUCGGGCCUCUUGCCAUCAGAUGUGCCCAGAUGGGAUUAGCUAGUAGGUGGGGUAACGGCUCACCUAGGCGACGAUCCCUAGCUGGUCUGAGAGGAUGACCAGCCACACUGGAACUGAGACACGGUCCAGACUCCUACGGGAGGCAGCAGUGGGGAAUAUUGCACAAUGGGCGCAAGCCUGAUGCAGCCAUGCCGCGUGUAUGAAGAAGGCCUUCGGGUUGUAAAGUACUUUCAGCGGGGAGGAAGGCAAUAAGGUUAAUAACCUUGUCCAUUGACGUUACCCGCAGAAGAAGCACCGGCUAACUCCGUGCCAGCAGCCGCGGUAAUACGGAGGGUGCAAGCGUUAAUCGGAAUUACUGGGCGUAAAGCGCACGCAGGCGGUCUGUCAAGUCGGAUGUGAAAUCCCCGGGCUCAACCUGGGAACUGCAUUCGAAACUGGCAGGCUGGAGUCUUGUAGAGGGGGGUAGAAUUCCAGGUGUAGCGGUGAAAUGCGUAGAGAUCUGGAGGAAUACCGGUGGCGAAGGCGGCCCCCUGGACAAAGACUGACGCUCAGGUGCGAAAGCGUGGGGAGCAAACAGGAUUAGAUACCCUGGUAGUCCACGCUGUAAACGAUGUCGACUUGGAGGUUGUUCCCUUGAGGAGUGGCUUCCGGAGCUAACGCGUUAAGUCGACCGCCUGGGGAGUACGGCCGCAAGGUUAAAACUCAAAUGAAUUGACGGGGGCCCGCCCAAGCGGUGGAACAUGGGGUUUAAUUCAAUGCAACCCCAAAGAACCUUACCUACUCUUGACUUCCAAAGAACUUUAACAAAGAAUGCUUUGUGGCCUUCCGGAAAUUUUGAAAAAAGGGGCUGCAUGGGUUUUCCCCCCCCCCGGUUUUGAAAAUGUUGGGUUAAUUCCCCCCAACAAAGCCCCACCCUUUUUCUUUUUUUUCCCCCGGCCCCGGCCGGGAAACCCAAAGGGAAACUCCCCGGGAUAAAACUGGGAAGAAGGGGGGGGAAAACCAAAAUACAAUUGGGCCCCUUAAAAAGGGGGGCCCCCCCCUUUUUAUGG